rnacentral:rRNA from 1 species
UUGUUGGUAAGGUAAAAGCUUACCAAGGCUUCGAUCAGUAGCUGGUCUGAGAGGACGGCCAGCCACACUGGGACUGAGACACGGCCCAGACUCCUACGGGAGGCAGCAGUGGGGAAUUUUGGACAAUGGGGGCAACCCUGAUCCAGCCAUGCCGCGUGAGUGAAGAAGGCYUUCGGGUUGUAAAGCUCUUUCAGCCGGAACGAAACGGUUACGGUUAAUACCCGUGACUACUGACGGUACCGGAAGAAGAAGCACCGGCUAACUACGUGCCAGCAGCCGCGGUAAUACGUAGGGUGCGAGCGUUAAUCGGAAUUACUGGGCGUAAAGCGUGCGCAGGUGGUUUUGUAAGUCAGAUGUGAAAGCCCCGGGCUCAACCUGGGAACUGCGUUUGAAACUACAAGACUAGAGUGUGGCAGAGGGGGGUGGAAUUCCGCGUGUAGCAGUGAAAUGCGUAGAGAUGUGGAGGAACACCGAUGGCGAAGGCAGCCCCCUGGGUCAACACUGACGCUCAGGCACGAAAGCAUGGGGAGCAAACAGGAUUAGAUACCCUGGUAGUCCAUGCCCUAAACGAUGUCAACUAGUUGUCGGGCCUUUACGGGCUUGGUAACGUAGCUAACGCGUGAAGUUGACCGCCUGGGGAGUACGAUCGCAAGAUUAAAACUCAAAUGAAUUGACGGGGACCCGCACAAGCGGUGGAUUAUGUGGAUUAAUUCGAUGCAACGCGAAAAACCUUACCUACCCUUGACAUGUAUCGAAGCCCGCAGAAAAGCGGGGGUGCCCGAAAGGGAACGAUAACACAGGUGCUGCAUGGCUGUCGUCAGCUCGUGUCGUGAGAUGUUGGGUUAAGUCCCGCAACGAGCGCAACCCUUGUCAUUAAUUGCCAUCAUUUAGUUGGGCACUUUAAUGAGACUGCCGG